UNGUUUAGGAUGGCCUCGGAUUAUACUA
rnacentral:piRNA from 1 species